rnacentral:rRNA from 1 species
AGCGAACGCUGGCGGCAGGCCUAACACAUGCAAGUCGAACGAACCUUUCGGGGUUAGUGGCGGACGGGUGAGUAACACGUGGGAACGUGCCUUUAGGUUCGGAAUAACUCAGGGAAACUUGUGCUAAUACCGAAUGUGCCCUUCGGGGGAAAGAUUAAUCGCCUUUAGAGCGGCCCGCGUCUGAUUAGCUAGUUGGUUGAGGUAAUGGCUCACCAAGGCGACGAUCAGUAGCUGGUCUGAGAGGAUGAUCAGCCACAUUGGGACUGAGACACGGCCCAAACUCCUACGGGAAGCAGCAGUGGGGAAUCUUGCGAAAUGGGCGAAAGCCUGACGCAGCCAUGCCGGGUGAAUGAUGAAGGUCUUAGGAUUGUAAAAUUCUUUCACCGGGGACGAUAAUGACGGUACCCGGAGAAGAAGCCCCGGCUAACUUCGUG